rnacentral:rRNA from 1 species
AUUGAACGCUGGCGGCAUGCCUUACACAUGCAAGUCGAACGGCAGCACGGGAGCAAUCCUGGUGGCGAGUGGCGAACGGGUGAGUAAUACAUCGGAACGUGCCUAGUAGUGGGGGAUAACUACUCGAAAGAGUGGCUAAUACCGCAUGAGAUCUACGGAUGAAAGCAGGGGAUCGCAAGACCUUGUGCUACUAGAGCGGCCGAUGGCAGAUUAGGUAGUUGGUGGGAUAAAAGCUUACCAAGCCGAGGAUCUGUAGCUGGUCUGAGAGGACGAUCAGCCACACUGGGACUGAGACACGGCCCAGACUCCUACGGGAGGCAGCAGUGGGGAAUUUUGGACAAUGGGCGCAAGCCUGAUCCAGCAAUGCCGCGUGCAGGAUGAAGGCCUUCGGGUUGUAAACUGCUUUUGUACGGAACGAAAAGCCCUGGGUUAAUACCCUGGGGUCAUGACGGUACCGUAAGAAUAAGCACCGGCUAACUACGUGCCAGCCGCCGCAGUAA